CCGCCGCGCCGGCCGCUGGAGCGAGCGCCACCCGGGCCACCUGGCUGCGGCGAAGCGGCGAGACUCGGUGGCCACCGCGGGACUCCGAGGAGCUGCGGCCGCUGAGCGCAUCGGAGGGCGGGCGCGCCGAGGCGCCGGGUGGGAGCGGAGCAUCUUCACUUCUGCGGGGACCUAGUUUGCCCCCACCUGAUGCAACCCAGAAAAUGGACUGACUGCGAGUGCCUUGGGGCGGAGAAUGUGUCUUGCUACGUGUAAAGCACCUAGAACCCUGCCAGAUUCAGGGGACACAGCAUCCUGCCGUUUUCCUGCCGUCCCCCGCCCGCCACACAGUAGGCGCUCCAGUGGCUCGGGGCAUCUACCAGGCAGGCCGCGCUGUCCUGCCCUGCCGGGGCUGGAGUGGAGCAACCCUCCGGGGCCACCCACAUCUGGGUACCUUUUCCCCACUUUUUCCACCCCAGCCGCGCACAGUCACCAGAAAACUCUUUUAGAAAUACAAACACUUGGCCUGGCGCGGUGGCUCACACCUGUAAUCCCAGCACUCUGGGAGGCCGAGGCGGAUGGAUCACCUGAGGUCAGGAGUUCAAGACCAGCGUGGCCAACAUGGUGAAACCCCAUCGCUACUAAAAAUACGAAAAAAUUAGCUGGGCGUGGUGGUGGGCAUCUGUGAUCUCAGCUACGCAGGAUGCUGAGGCAGGAGAAUCGCUUGAACCCAGGAGGCGGAGGUUACAGUGACCAAAGAGGGCACCACUGCACUCCAGCCUGGGCAACAAGAGCGAAACUUUAUCUAAAAAAAAUAAAAAUAAAAAAAUACAAUCACUUUUCUCUGAUUGGAAUCAAGGUCCCAGAAUACAAUCUUAAGAACAAGUUUUGGCCAGUGUGGUGGCUCACGCCUGUAAUCCCAGCACUUUGGGAGGCAGUGGCCGGUGGAUCACCUGAGGUCAGGAGUUCGAGACCAGCCUGGCCAAUUUUUAGUAGAGCCCAUCUCUACUAAAAAUACAAAAAUUAGCUGGGUGUGGUGAUGCGCACCUGUAGUCCCAGCUACUUGGGAGGCUGAGGCAGGAGAAUGGUGUGAACCUGGGAGGCGGUGCUUGCAGUGAGCGGAGAUCACACCACUGCACUCCAGCCUGGGCGACAGAGCGAGACUCCGUCUCAAAAAAAAAAUAGUAAGUUUCAGGUCGAUGGAAGUUGAAUAAGAAGGCCUAGGCUGGAUACAGUGGCCUACACCUAUAAUCCCAGCACUUUGGAAGGCCAAGGCAGGCAGAUCCUUUGAACCAAGGAGUAGGAGACCAGCCUGGGCAACAUAGUGAGACCCUCCUCUCCAUAAAAAAUUUUUCAAAAUUAAAAAAAAAGAAGGCCUGAAGCUGACAUAGCUGAGAAAGUUUGUUUUAACUCACUACCAUUGAAUAAAAACUUAAUAGUUUUAUCAAGAUAUAAUUUACAUACUAUGAAAUUCACCUAUUUUGUGUACAAUUUAAUGAUUCUCAGUAAAUUUACACAGUAAAUUUGCACAACCAUUGCCACUAAUUUCAGAACAUUUCCAUUACCCCAAAAAGAUCCUUCACGAUGGUGGGCAGUUUGGUUCCCAUCCUUAGCCCCAGGCAACCACUCAUCUACAUUUUCUCUCUAUGGAUUUGUCCAGAUUUUUCACAUAAGUAGAAUCUUACAGCAUGCAGCCUUUUGUGUCUGCCUUCUUUCAUUUGUCAUAAUGUUUUUGAGGUUUAUCUAAGGUUGUGGCAUGUAGCAGUAUUUCAUUCCUUAUUAUUGCUAUGUCAUAUUCCAUGUAUGGACAUACCACAUUUUGUGUCUACUUUCCAAUUGUGGAUGUUUAGAUUGUGUCAACUUUUUGAGUAUUAUGAAAAUGCUGCUGGGGCUGAGAUUGGUGGCUCACUCCUGUAAUCCCAACACUUUAGGAUACCGAGAUGGGAGGAUCACUUGAAUACCCCGGAGUUUGAAACCAGCCUGGGCAACAUAGAGAGACCCUGUCUCUAUGAAAAACUUUAAAAAUAAAAAAUUAGCUGGUUGGCUGGGCGUGGUGGCUCAUGCCUAUAAUCCCAGCACUUUGGGAGGCCGAGGUGGGUGGAUCACCUGAGAUCAGGAGUUCGAGACCAGCCUGGCCUACAUGGUGAAAUCCCGUCUCUACUAAAAAUACAAAAAAUUAGCCAGGCGUGGUGGCGGGCACCUGUAAUCUCAGCUACUUGGGAGGCUGAGGCAGGAGAAUUGCUUGAACCCAGGAGGCGGAGGUUACAGUGAGCCGAGAUUGCACCAUUGCACUGAAGCCUGGGUGACACAGCAAUACUCUGUCUCCAAAAAAAAAAAAAAAAAAAAAUUAGCUGGUCAUGGUGACACGCACCUAUAGUCCCAGCUACUAGGGAGGCUGAAGCAGAAGGACCGCUUGAGCCCAGGAGAUCGAGGUUGCUGUGAGCUACGAAUGCGCCACUGCACUCUAGCCUGGGCAACAGACCAAGACCCUGUCUCGUUCAGUUAAUAGAGUUGCUAAAACACACACACACACACACAAAGAAGAAGAAAGAAAAAUAAUAAUGCUGCUAUGAACAUUUGUGAACAUAUAUCUUCAUGUGGAUAUAUGUUUUCAUUUAUCUUGGGUUGGUUCCUACAAACGAAAUUGUUGGGUGAUGUGGUAAGUUUAUUUAGUUAUUUUUAUUUUAUUUAUUUAUUUAUGGAAACUACCUUUUCUCUGGACUUCAGAAGGCUUAAGCUUUAUAUGAAAAUAUCAGAGUAGGCUGGGCACGGUGGCUCAUGCCUGUAAUCCCAGCACUUUGGGAGACUGAGGUGGGCUGAUCACCUGAGGUCAAGAGAUCGAGACCAUCCUUGCCAACAUGGUGAAACCCUGUCUCUAUUAAAAAUACAAAAAUUAGCCAGGCAUGGUGGCUCACACCUGUAAUCCCAGCACUUUGGGAGGCCAAGGCGGGCAGAUCACGAGGUCAGGAGAUCAAGGCCAUCCUGGCUAACACAGUGAAACCCCGUCUCUACUAAAAAUACAAAAAAAUAGGUGGGUGUGGUGGCGGGCGCCUGUAGUCCCAGCUACUUGGGAGGCUGAGGCAGGAGAAUGGCAUGAACUCGGGAGGCGGAGCUUGCAGUGAGGUGAGAUGGCGCCACUGCACUCCAGCCUGGGCAACAGAGCGAGACUCUGUCUCAAAAAAAAGAAAAUACAAAAAUUAGCUGGGCAUGGUGGUGUGCGCCUGUAGUCCUAACUACUCGGGAGGCUGAGGCAGGAGAAUCGCUUGAACCUGGC
rnacentral:lncRNA from 1 species